rnacentral:lncRNA from 1 species
GUGUGCCUUUGAUGUUCAUGUUUAAUUUAUGGAGAAACUCUGACCUAAUUUUAUCUCUCAAGAUCAGCCCUUAAAAUCUCACAUGCCCACCUCUUCUGCAACAGUCCCUGUCCCUAGAGGACUUGAAUAGUUUUCAUUCUGGCCUCCUGUCUCAUGAGUGCAGUUUAUUUUGAUUGUCAUCUUCUCCUGGAUAUAAAGAAAUCCUGGUGAUUUUUAUUUUCCACCUCAAUUUUCAUGAUCACCAUUAUUCUACUUAAACAAAGAAGCUGGCAAAUCCAAAAUUUGCAGUUCAAGUCCAGAGGUCAUCAGGCUGGAGGUCCAGGAAACAACCAGUGUUGCAGCUCAAGUCUGAAGCCUCUCUGCUGACAGGCUUCUUCUUGCUCAGAGUAGGCUUCAAAAUGGUGAGAAGAUAAUGAGAAAAGGAAAGAAUCUAUGGAUAAGAAGAAUUCUGAAUUAUUUUGGAUUAGCCAAACUCACUAUAAACUCUACUAAUCUUAUCAUAUCUGGAUACUUGAAACAUCCCACAGAACAUCAAGUGGUCUGCUAUAUUAAAGACAUAAUGCAGAGCAAAAAAGACUAGCACACUAGAAGUCUUGGAAGAGAAGCACUCUGGAAUCCUAGAAGAACUACUUAAACUUCUGCAGAAGGAAGUGGAUCUUAGCAACAUAAGAAUCAACUAUGGUAGUACCUGUGAUGCCCCCUCCUGAAAAAAGCCAGCACUAAUUUGAAGUGACGAAGCUCAUAGGGCACAGAAUUUAAGGAGAUACACCCUCUCAAGGUCAUAUGAAUGAGCAUUUCCUUGAAUUUUUUCCUUAGGCACUUCAGUCGAUUCACCCUAGUCCCUGCUUGUUCCAGAAUUGUCUUUCAAAAUGGAAGAUUUAUCCCUUAGCUACUGGGAGUGUUGUUAGAAGAAAAUCUUUAUCUAAGCAAUCCUUAGGAUGGGCUUUGGUUGAAAAAGUGGCCAUCCAAAAGUCAUAACCGCUACCAUUGGCAGCCCAUAACCCAAAACUACUGAUCAACUAAAAAAUGUAAAUGCCUGGCUUCCUCUCCCCAAAUCAGGACAAUUCUGUUGGGCCAUCUCAACAUCAAAGCUUACUGUGAGGUGGCUGAAAGCUUCACUGGGACUGCAUCACAGCUCAACAUUUUCUUCAUCUUAAUACUGCUUCCUUACCCUCUGCACAUGUGUUCAUCACAAGAGAAAUUUCUAAUUACUUUCCUUUUCACUAACCUGUAUUUCAGAGUCUACUUCUUGGAGGAAAUCUUGUGAAACCAAAAAUAAAUAACAAAUACAUUAUGUUGUUCUGUUAAUAAUUUUCAGGAGUUUAAGGCGA